rnacentral:rRNA from 1 species
GAUGAACGCUGGCGGCGUGCCUAAUACAUGCAAGUCGAGCGAACAGACGAGGAGCUUGCUCCUUUGACGUUAGCGGCGGACGGGUGAGCAACACGUGGAUAACCUACCUAUAAGACUGGGAUAACUUCGGGAAACCGGAGCUAAUACCGGAUAACAUGUUGAACCGCAUGGUUCAACAGUGAAAGACGGUCUUGCUGUCACUUAUAGAUGGAUCCGCGCCGCAUUAGCUAGUUGGUAAGGUAACGGCUUACCAAGGCAACGAUGCGUAGCCGACCUGAGAGGGAGAUCGGCCACACUGGAACUGAGACACGGUCCAGACUCCUACGGGAGGCAGCAGUAGGGAAUCUUCCGCAAUGGGCGAAAGCCUGACGGAGCAACGCCGCGUGAGUGAAGAAGGUCUUCGGAUCGUAAAACUCUGUUAUUAGGGAAGAACAAAUGUGUAAGUAACUAUGCACGUCUUGACGGUACCUAAUCAGAAAGCCACGGCUAACUACGUG